rnacentral:rRNA from 1 species
CUUGGCACUAAGAGCCGAUGAAAGACGUGAUAAGCUGCGAAAAGCUUCGGGGAGGAGCAAAUAUCCUUUGAUCCGGAGAUUUCUGAAUGGGGAAACCUACUUGAGCAAACCUCAAGUAUCCUUAAGCCAAUACAUAACUUAAGGAAGGGAACCCGGUGAACUGAAACAUCUAAGUAGCCGGAGGAAGAGAAAACAACAUGUGAUUCUGUGAGUAGCGGCGAGCGAAAACGGAAGAGCCCAAACCAGCGUGCGUGCAUGCUGGGGUUCGGACCGCGGAAUUGAUUCAACGAGUUUAGCAGAACGGUUUUGGGAAAGCCGGCCAGAGAGGGUGAAAGCCCCGUAAGCGAAAGACGAGUUGACAUGGCGGGAUCCAGAGUACCACGAGACACGUGGAACCUUGUGGGAAGAUGCGGGGACCACCCCGUAAGGCUAAAUACUACUUAGUGACCGAUAGCGCAUAGUACUGUGAAGGAAAGGUGAAAAGGACCCCGGGAGGGGAGUGAAAAAGAACCUGAAACCAUAUGUUUACAAGCUGUGGAAGAGCUU